rfam:Morus notabilis contig10575, whole genome shotgun sequence.
AUCCCAGAUCUAAGCUGAAGAUUGGUGCUUAUCUGAUUCAUGGGAGGCCAAUAUCAACUAUGUCUCGGAAGUUUCGCUGAUAAAUGCCUAUUUUCUUCCUGUUUUAGGCGUUUACUAGUAACUUUUCCGUACAAUA